AAUCAACGCUGGCGGCGUGCCUAACACAUGCAAGUCGAACGAGAAAGUGGAGCAAUCCAUGAGUAAAGUGGCGCACGGGUGAGUAACACGUGACUAACCUACCCUGGAGUGGGGAAUAACUGAGGGAAACCUUAGCUAAUACCGCAUAACACCUACGGGUCAAAGGAGCAAUUCGCUUCAGGAGGGGGUCGCGGCAGAUUAGCUUGUUGGCGGGGUAAUGGCCCACCAAGGCAGUGAUCUGUAUCCGGCCUGAGAGGGCGCACGGACACA
rnacentral:rRNA from 1 species